rnacentral:lncRNA from 1 species
CCAUCGCCGAGGCUAUGAUCCUUCUGUUCAAAAGAACUUAAGUCUACAUUUCACUAUUUGUUACCGAGCCGUUCACGAAGAAGUUUUUCGUGCGAGCAAAACAAGAGAGUUGUUCUAUAAACAGUACCAAUCUGCCCGAGUAGCUCGAUCUUCACACCGGUAUGUUAAAUGCCCUUCUACAAGACAAAGUAAAACAAUUAGCGGAAAGAAAUAGAAAUCGAUACAUAGCUUCUGGUAUCACUCCCGGCGAAUCACGCAAGGCGAUUUGAAAGCGAGAAAGAGAUAAUAUAAACAAAGAUCAUUACGUGGCACAAUGUGGAAGUGACACCUGUCACAUUAUUCUCUUAUCUACUUAGAACCGUAUACCCGUAUUAAAAGGUUGUGGAAGCAAAGCCUGGCCUCCCCAAAUCAAACUCUUGGCAGCAUUUGAUGUUUCCGUUGUCGUUGUAGAGGCAAUCUUUGAGGUCGAUGGUGCUGGUCACAGUGCUUCCGUCCUCGGCCUUGCAAGUUGCACUGAAAUCGCGUUCACCGAAAAAGAGAUCUGCUGCCAAAUGGAAU